CCCUUCCGCGCGCUCAAAGUGGAGGGUGACUGCGGGGGCGGGGUCAGAACACUGGCGGCCGAUCCCAACGCGGCUCCUUGGAGCCCGACGCCGAGCAGCGCACUGGCGGGGCCGAGCAGGAGCCGGCAUCAUGGAUUCCUUCAAGGUAGUGCUGGAGGGGCCAGCACCUUGGGGCUUCCGGCUGCAAGGGGGCAAGGACUUCAAUGUGCCCCUCUCCAUUUCCCGGAUGAGAGAAGAACUCAUGAAGAGGUGGAGGGGCUCGCUCAUCGAGUCCAUGUUGAAGCAGGGAUUGGAAUUGAAGCACGGGAUGAUAUGGCCUGUUGGGGGCACUCCCAGCUCCAACUCCCUGGUCAGCAUCCCCGGCAUGUGGGUGGGGCCGCUAGCUGAUCCCAGCCCUGGAGUUGGACCUGGGCCCACAUGGCUCACUCCUGGAGGCAAAGCGGCGCAGGCCGGAGUGGCCGUGGGUGACUGGGUGCUGAGCAUCGAUGGCGAGAACGCAGGGAGCCUCACACACAUCGAAGCUCAGAACAAGAUCCGGGCCUGCGGGGAGCGCCUCAGCCUGGGCCUCAGCAGGGCCCAGCCAGUUCAGAGCAAACCACAGAAGGCCUCCGUCCCCGCCGCGGACCCCCCGCGGUACACCUUUGCACCCAGCGUCUCCCUCAACAAGACGGCCCGGCCCUUUGGGGCGCCCCCGCCCGCUGACAGCGCCCUGCAGCAGAAUGGACAGCCGCUUCGACCGCUGGUCCCAGACGCCAGCAAGCAGCGGCUGAUGGAGAAUACCGAGGACUGGCGGCCGCGGCCCGGGACAGGCCAGUCGCGUUCCUUUCGCAUCCUUGCCCACCUCACAGGCACCGAGUUCAUGCAAGACCCGGAUGAGGAGCACCUGAAAAAAUCAAGCUAUAGACAACACGCCAGCUACCUGGACGUUGCUAUGAGAAGCUGCCCUUCCCAUCCCUACCCCAGUGGGACCUGGAGUCCAGCUCAGCAGUUUCCAUGCCCCCAGGCAUCUCCCGUGGGGCCAGCAGGACCCAGGUUGGGGGGUGGGGCCAUGCCAGGAAGCUCAGCCAUGCAGGGCCUUGAAUGGCAGAUCUUGCAGCCAGGUGCCCAGGACAGAAGCCCCAGCCCCAGCCUCAUCUACACCCCAGGAGCCCUGGCCUGGCCCUACCACCCCCAGCCCCACCAGCCGCCCGCCCUGGGCUGUGGACCCUGCGUUUGCCGAGCGCUAUGCCCCGGACAAAACGAGCACAGUGCUGACCCGGCACAGCCAGCCGGCCACGCCCACGCCGCUGCAGAACCGCACCUCCAUCGUGCAGGCAGCUGCCGGAGGGGUACCAGGAGGUGGCAGCAACAAUGGCAAGACUCCUGUGUGUCACCAGUGCCACAAGGUCAUCCGAGGCCGCUACCUGGUGGCGCUGGGCCACGCAUACCACCCCGAGGAGUUUGUUUGUAGCCAGUGUGGGAAGGUCCUGGAGGAGGGUGGCUUCUUCGAGGAGAAGGGCGCCAUCUUCUGCCCGCCAUGCUAUGACGUGCGCUACGCACCCAGCUGUGCCAAAUGCAAGAAGAAGAUUACAGGCGAGAUCAUGCAUGCCCUGAAGAUGACCUGGCACGUGCACUGCUUCACCUGUGCCGCCUGCAAGAUGCCCAUCCGGAACAGGGCCUUCUACAUGGAGGAGGGCGUGCCCUACUGCGAGCGAGACUAUGAGAAGAUGUUUGGCACGAAAUGCCAUGGCUGUGACUUCAAGAUCGAUGCUGGGGACCGCUUCCUGGAAGCGCUGGGCUUCAGCUGGCAUGACACCUGCUUCGUCUGUGCGAUAUGUCAGAUCAACCUGGAAGGAAAGACCUUCUACUCCAAGAAGGACAGGCCCCUCUGCAAGAGCCAUGCCUUCUCCCAUGUGUGAGCCCCUCCUGCCCACAGCUGCUACGGCGGCCCCCUGGAGUCAUGGCCCGGCAUUUCUGGGUAGGGCUGGCAAUGGUUGCCUUAACCCUGGCUCCUGGCCCGAGCCUGGGGUUCCCCGGGCCCUACCCCACCUGCCUUAUCCCCCCACCUCACUCCCUCCACCACCACAGCACACCGCUGCUGGCCACACCAGCCCCCUUUCACCUCCAGUGCCACAAUAAACCUGGACCCAGCUGUG